GUAAAUUGAUUUGUAUUUUACAAGCACUGUAAAUGCGAAGGAUAUUGAAAGGUAGCCUGGAAAACUUCAGUGUAUGGGCAUAGAGCUCAUGCGCGCGCAUGAGUGGCCAAUGAACGAUACCCGGCCCUCCUCUCUCGGACUUAGCCACGCCCUUCAUUAGAUCCUGAGGGGAUUUUUCAGAACAGAGGUUAUGGCAGUUUCACCAUCCAAUUCCAUUUUUAGCAGGUGUGCUUCCUGGCCAAAGGAGUCAGAUGAGUGCAGGAGCAGCCCCUUCGAGGACAAGGCUUGGAUUCCCAGGAGCAGACAAGGAACUCUGUGGGCAUACUCCAAGGAAACUGGACCUCCUCUGUCACAGGACUUCCACUGUUUAAGCACCACCACUACCUCAGGAAGUCCACUGUCUGUGUGUCAACUCCACUGUUACAGGACCACAAGUGUCUCAGCACUUCAACUAUCACAGCACUUCUACUGUUCAGGAGCUCAAGAGUCUCAGCAUCUCAAGUGUCACAGGACCUCCUUUGUCCAAGAACUGGACUGUCCAAGCAAC
ensembl:lncRNA